GAAAUGCGAUAAGUAGUGUGCAUUGCAGAAUUCAGUGAAUCAUCGAAUCUUUGAACGCACAUUGCGCCCUUUGGUAUUCCAAAGGGCAUGCCUGUUCGAGCGUCAUUUGUACCCUCAAGCUUUGCUUGGUGUUGGGCGUCUUGUCUCCAGUUCGCUGGAGACUCGCCUUAAAGUAAUUGGCAGCCGGCCUACUGGUUUCGGAGCGCAGCACAAGUCGCGCUCUCUUCCAGCCAAGGUCAGCAUCCACAAAGCCUUUUUUCAACUUUUGACCUCGGAUCAGGUAGGGAUACCCGCUGAACUUAAGC
rnacentral:misc_RNA from 1 species